AACGCACCUUGCACCCUUUGGUAUUCCGAAGGGUACACCCGUUUGAGUGUCAUUGUAAUCUCACUCCGACAACUUUUGGGUUGUCUGGAGGUGGACUUGGACUCUUGCCGUGUUACAACGGCUGGUCUGAAAUGCAUGAGUGCACCCUGCUGUUGCAGCGUCUUCAGUGUGAUAAGUAUCUUCACUGAGUAAGUUCCCUCUGGGACACGCCUUGCCGGUGGGCUCUGUGCUUCCAACCGUCUUGUAUUGGACAACACUUGACAAUUUGACCUCAAAUCGGGUGGGAUUACCCGCUGAACUUAA
rnacentral:misc_RNA from 1 species